AGAGUUUGAUCAUGGCUCAGAAUCAACGCUGGCGGCGUGCCUCAGACAUGCAAGUCGAACGAGAAAGUUUCCUUCGGGGAAUGAGUAAAGUGGCGCACGGGUGAGUAACACGUAGGUAAUCUACCUUCGGGUGGGGAAUAACCCAGGGAAACUUGGGCUAACACCGCAUAAUGCAGCGGCACCACAUGGUGACAGUUGUUAAAGCGGGGGAUUUUCGAACCUCGCGCCUGAAGAGGAGCCUGCGGCAGAUUAGCUAGUUGGUAAGGUAACGGCUUACCAAGGCGACGAUCUGUAGCCGGCCUGAGAGGGCGGUCGGCCACACUGACACUGACAUACGGGUCAGACUCCUACGGGAGGCAGCAGUCGGGAAUUUUGGGCAAUGGGCGAAAGCCUGACCCAGCAACGCCGCGUGAAGGAUGAAAUCCCUCGGGAUGUAAACUUCGCAAGAAUGGGAAGAAUUAGUAGGGGUUAAUACCCUCUAUGAUGACGGUACCAUUUGUAAGCUCCGGCUAACUCCGUGCCAGCAGCCGCGGUAAUACGGGGGGAGCAAGCGUUGUUCGGAUUUACUGGGCGUAAAGGGCGCGUAGGCGGUCAGCACAAGUCAGUUGUGAAAUCUCCGGGCUUAACUCGGAAAGGUCAACUGAUACUGUGCGACUAGAGUGCAGAAGGGGCAACUGGAAUUCUCGGUGUAGCGGUGAAAUGCGUAGAUAUCGAGAGGAACACCUGCGGCGAAGGCGGGUUGCUGGGCUGACACUGACGCUGAUGCGCGAAAGCCAGGGGAGCGAACGGGAUUAGAUACCCUAGUAGUCC
rnacentral:rRNA from 1 species